AUUGAACGCUGGCGGCAGGCUUAACACAUGCAAGUCGAGCGAGCGGCGGACGGGUGAGUAAUGUCUGGGAACCUGCCUGAUGGAGGUGGAUAACUACUGUUAACGGUAGCUAAUACCGCAUACCAUCAGAUGUGCCCAGAUGGGAUUAGCUAGUAGGUGGGGUAAUGGCUCACCUAGGCGACGAUCCCUCGCUGGUCUGAGAGGAUGACCAGCCACACGGGAAGAGAGACACGGUACAGACUACUAGGGGAGGCAGCAGGGGGGAAUAUUGCACAAUGGGCGCAAGCGUGAUGCAGGCAUGCCGCGUGUGUGAAGAAGGCUCUCGGGUUGUAAAGCACUUUCAGCGAAGAGGCGUUACUCGCAGAAGAAGCACCGGCUAAUUCCGUGCCAGCAGCCGCGGUAUUC
rnacentral:rRNA from 1 species